CUCAAAUAAAGGAGUCUGGCAUUCUUCUGUCAGUGAUGCGUAUUUGCAAAUCAUGGAGAGAAGGAAAGGAGAAAGAGCUGCUCAAAUGAGGAAAAGUGGCAGACAAUGCUGAUGUUCAGUAGCAAGGUAGACACCAGCUCUUUUUUGUAAUUCUUAUGUUACAGUGCAUCUGUGCGUAUUUCAGUCUGCAGUUGGUGGCACUGAAGGAAUUGCUGUCAUGACCUUGGGGCAGUGCAGAUAUUCUCCAUGGAAACAUUGUCCAUCUUUUAAAACUAAGCAUGAAAUGCCUGAGGCGAGUGGACUCAGUUCGUGUCAGGCAAUGGGGAAGGGAAAUUUCCAGCCAGGAAGCCACAGUGAGCUCAAGAAAGUACAGGAGGAUAAAAGAAACUGGAGAGAGAGGAAGGAGAGAGAAAGGGCAGACUUCAUUUUCUACUUCCCCUCCCUUUAAUGGCAGGAGUCAUUCAAUGUGGCCUCAGAUGCCAUCAGGGAACCACUCUAACACUUGACUGAGGGAGGCAAAGGAUGACCCAGAG
rnacentral:lncRNA from 1 species